AACGAACGCUGGCGGCAUGCCUAACACAUGCAAGUCGAACGAGACCUUCGGGUCUAGGGGCGCACGGCGGCGGAACGCGUGGGAAUCUGCACGUGGGUUCGGAAUAACAGUUGGAAACGACUGCUAAUACCGGAUGAGGACGUAAGUGCAAAGACUUAUCGCCCAAGGAUGAGCGCGCGUAGGAUUAGCUAGUUGGUGAGGGAAAGGCAGACCAAGGCGACGAUCCUUAGCUGGUCGGAGAGGAUGAUCAGCCAGGAUGGGACUGAGACACGGCCCAGUCGCCGAGGCAACAGUGGGGAAGAGUGCAUUAGGCGAUGAAGCAUGACGCAGCAAAGCCGCGCGGCGGAUGUGGUGAAGCGGGUUGUAUUGUGCUUCUGCCUUAGCCGAAGCGAUAGUGACGGUACCGGGUAAAUAAGCACCGGCUAACUACGUG
rnacentral:rRNA from 1 species